rnacentral:tRNA from 7 species
CGGGGUGUAGCGCAGGCUGGUUAGCGCAUCUGGUUUGGGACCAGAGGGCCGAAGGUUCGAAUCCUUUCACCCCGACCA